rnacentral:rRNA from 1 species
GCUUGCUUCUCUUGAGAGCGGCGGACGGGUGAGUAAUGCCUAGGAAUCUGCCUAGUGGUGGGGGAUAACGUUCGGAAACGGACGCUAAUACCGCAUACGUCCUACGGGAGAAAGCGGGGGAUCUUCGGACCUCGCGCCAUUAGAUGAGCCUAGGUCGGAUUAGCUAGUUGGUGAGGUAAUGGCUCACCAAGGCGACGAUCCGUAACUGGUCUGAGAGGAUGAUCAGUCACACUGGAACUGAGACACGGUCCAGACUCCUACGGGAGGCAGCAGUGGGGAAUAUUGGACAAUGGGCGAAAGCCUGAUCCAGCCAUGCCGCGUGUGUGAAGAAGGUCUUCGGAUUGUAAAGCACUUUAAGUUGGGAGGAAGGGUAGUAACCUAAUACGUUGCUACUUUGACGUUACCGACAGAAUAAGCACCGGCUAACUUCGUGCCAGCAGCCGCGGUAAUACGAAGGGUGCAAGCGUUAAUCGGAAUUACUGGGCGUAAAGCGCGCGUAGGUGGUUCAGUAAGUUGGAAGUGAAAUCCCCGGGCUCAACCUGGGAACUGCUUUCAAAACUGCUGAGCUAGAGUACGGUAGAGGGUGGUGGAAUUUCCUGUGUAGCGGUGAAAUGCGUAGAUAUAGGAAGGAACACCAGUGGCGAAGGCGACCACCUGGACUGAUACUGACACUGAGGUGCGAAAGCGUGGGGAGCAAACAGGAUUAGAUACCCUGGUAGUCCACGCCGUAAACGAUGUCAACUAGCCGUUGGAAUCCUUGAGAUUUUAGUGGCGCAGCUAACGCAUUAAGUUGACCGCCU